rnacentral:rRNA from 1 species
CAACGCGAAGAACCUUACCAGGACUUGACAUGUCCGGAAUCUUCUGGAAACAGAAGAGUGCCUUCGGGAGCCGGAACACAGGUGGUGCAUGGCUGUUGUCAGCUCGUGUCGUGAGAUGUUGGGUUAAGUCCCGCAACGAGCGCAACCCUCGUGUUUAGUUGCCAUCAUUAAGUUGGGCACCCUAAACAGACUGCCGGUGACAAACCGGAGGAAGGUGGGGAUGACGUCAAGUCAGCAUGCCCCUUACGUCCUGGGCUACACACGUACUACAAUGGUAGGGACAGUGGGCAGCCAACCCGCGAGGGCGAGCUAAUCCCGUAAACCCUGCCUCAGUUCAGAUUGCAGGCUGCAACUCGCCUGCAUGAAGGCGGAAUCGCUAGUAAUCGCAGGUCAGCAUACUGCGGUGAAUCCGUUCCCGGGCCUUGUACACACCGCCCGUCACACCAUGGAAGUUUGCCACGCCCGAAGUCAUUACUCUAACCUGUAAAGGAGGAGGAUCGGAAGGCAGGGCUGAUGACUGAGGUGAAGUCGUAACAAGUAACC